AACGUAGGAGGCGAGCGUUAUCCGGAUUUACUGGGCGUAAAGGGCGUGCAGGCGGUUGUGCAAGUUGGGCGUGAAAUCUCCCGGCUCAACUGGGAGGGGUCGUUCAAAACUGCAUAGCUUGAGGGCAGGAGAGGGAAGUGGAAUUCCCGGUGUAGCGGUAAUAUGCGCAGAUAUCGGGAGGAACACCAGUGGCGAAGGCGGCUUCCUGGCCUGUUCCUGACGCUGAGACGCGAAAGCCAGGGUAGCGAACGGGAUUAGAUACCCCCGUAGUCCCUGAGCGGG
rnacentral:rRNA from 1 species